GGGGAAAACACAUUAACAUCUCAGACUUCCACUUGGGAGGCUGCCAUGGGCUGCUGAGCGUUCCGACAGGAAGAGACUCACGCUGGGAGGGAGAGCAGCGUGUGAGUUUCCAGAUGCUGUGUGCAAGUGUGCAAUGUGAUGGACAGUGUGUCACAGCUGACUGCUGUACUCCUCCCGUUCAACAAGACUUCAUACUGGAAAUUGUAGAGGCUGAAAGCAAUUAUCUGACCAACUCUUUCCCUUCUCCAGACCCCAGUGAGAUGGGAUUACAGAAGGCUAGAUCUUGGAAACAUAUGAAAGAUUAAUACGUGAACGGGGACACGCUUUGCUUACGAAAGGACUAAAUAAUUAUUCUUUCACAGUGAGUGGCGGAGAAGCUCCAGAGAUGGAGAACUUGGAGCAGAGUUUGACUUUAGAAUGAGAUGGUUAAGAUAGAACCAGCCCUACUGAGAGUCACCUUGAUCUCGCAGACACCGCUGAGUCUAUAUCUGGGACUUAAGAGUUUUUUGAGAUCCAUAGAUGUGAAGCUUUAUCCCAGGUUGAUGGUCUUAAGACAGAGUUAAAGGAACAGUUCACCCAAAAAUGAAAAUUCUGUCUUCAUUUACUCACCCUCAAGUUAUUCCAAAUAUGUGCAAAUUUUUUGUUCUGAUGAACACCGAGAAAUAUGUUUGGAAGAAUGCUUGUAACCAAACAGUUCUUGGCCACCAUUGACUACCAUAGUAGGAAUCAUUUCUUUGUAAAUUUAUUUUUGUUGAAGAAUGUAGGAAAGCAGUUCUGGGGCACUUUAGACUACCAUUGUAAUUUUUCCUAUACAGUAGUAUGGUAGUCAAUGGUUGUUUGCCAAUGUGAAGGGAGCAGACUGUAAUGUAAGUUGAUGAGAGGCAGGGGCACACGAGGAUCUGUCCACACGGCAGACCCCACGGGUCAAGCCAUUCCACCCAGUCACACAGUCUAACCUUUGUCUUAAAUCAAACUGGCUUACAGAUUUUUUCUGAACCGUAGACCCGCACCAUGAAUAAAUAACGCAAAGCGUACGUUUAAAAAGCACAUUUUGGUUCUCUCUUACCGUCGCCGCUCGUUUGUGUAAACAGAUUGAUAUCCCAUCGACUUUAUUAAGUAGCUCUGCUGGAGUGUAAUUGGCGUGUCCCGAAGAGCAAGGUUAACAAAUCCUUCCGCCGCCCUUGUCCAUCAUCACAUCGACACAUUAAUUGAUAUGAAUGCGCAGGCACAUCCUGUCCGCCACAGAGCCAACGGAAAGACGGCGGCGAUGUGGAAUAAAUGCAGUCGUUAAGGAAUCGCGGCCCAAAUGAAAAUGAAUUGAUUUAUUUUAAUUGAUUGAAUAAAACACAACACGUCCGUAAUCUUCGCCGAGACGUUCAGAGGAGGACUAAACAUUUGUCAGUCUUUAUCUAUUUUCAAUUAGCUGGCUAUAAUGAUUAAUGGAGUGCUCAGAGUUAUGGAUGAGUUAAUUAGUGCUGAGAGCUCAUCUCAUUAGAGCACAGUGGCAUAUUCGCCACAUGCUGCUUAGAGUGGCACCACUCCGUCUAUCUGCACGUGUCCGGGCUCUUGUUAAUGACAUGCUGCUGCUCGUCUUCAUCAUCGUCUUUUCCAACACCAACAAGGUCACUGAAUGCAUGUGUUCAUUUGGGCAUUGCUACCCAGGUGCAUUCCUGGAGAGACCUUGAUGAUGAUGUUCUUACGGCUGUGUUUACAUUACGUCCUCCUGUAUGUGACCUUGAGACACUCGCUGUGGUUGUUUACAUCUUUUUUAAGGGUCCUUUCAUUUCCAAGGAUGUGAGGGUCUCUGAGGUUGCGUUUGCCCUUUACUGCUUAUCUGAGACCGUUUUUGCCAUUUCUUUUCAAAUUAUGCUCUGAGCUGCCCCGAAACACAAAUAACAGCACCUAUGUGCCGGUGAGGGUCCCGCGUCUCUCAGGACCGGGCUGGUAUUUAGCACACCUCCUUUAUUAACAUCUGGCAGCGUGCCAUUAGCUUUUGUUUUCGUUCUGUUUUUCUCCUUGUUCUCUUUCUAGCGCUUUUUAUGCAUGAGUGAUUAGAUAUUAGUAAGCAAGCACAUCGUUUUAAUUUGAACUGUAAUUAAAGUUUGAUGAGAACAAUGCAACACGCAACGACGUCUGUCUGCGUGAAUCGGCGUUCUUCGCUUUCCUUCUCCUGUCCGUCUCGGCUCACCUUUGCGUACCGCACCGGGCGCACAGACCACUUUGCUAAGUGUUAAUUAAGCACACAAGAGCUCAAUAAUUGAGAUAACAUGGCAGUUGGAUGCUGGCUUCCUUUUUGGGUUUUUUUUUAAUUAUCAAGCCCUCUGGGUGUUACUCCGGCGUAAUGAAAUAUGGUCAAUUUGACAAAUCAGUCCCUCCUAACAGCGUUAAUGCCUGAUGCAUAUUCAUGGGUUUUUAGAAGUCUAAUCAAAGUCGUCGCCGGGCCUCCCGUGUGCACAUGGGAUGUAUGUGCGAGCACGCGUGUGUGUUUACGUCUCCUAUGAAUGAUUCAUGCUGUUUAGCUCACAGUUGCUUGGUUGCAUCUGGCUCGGGGAGGUGUGAGUCUGGCCAAAUGGAGGGGCCACAUGGCAGCUCCAGAUGUUCAGCUUUUGUAUAUGCACAGCUCAUCAAAAACAACACCCGUGCCACCCCUGGGUCUCUGCCAUCUGGGGGAGAACCUAGCUGCAGCUUCCUGCCAGCCUGCCGUCGCAUUGUGGGGAAGUUUGCCGCAGCGCGGUUGGAAGAAAAGCGAUAACGUUGUCAGACGGAUCUCCAAACUCUAGUUUUUCAUCUUCUCAAAAUCGCGGGUCACGGUGCGCAACUGAUUGGUAUCCAUAGAUACGCGUAUCCAUGUAAAAUCCCAAAGCACUCAGGGAGGAUAUUUCAUGGCCUGCCUCUCUUAUCUUCCCUUUGAUACAUUUUUUAUCCACCUCGAUUGAAGAUUCAGCUCUUUCAUUUCCUGUGAUAUGUGUCCUGGCUUUUUCCUCUCAGCAGUGGGGAACGGAUAAAGCCCCCAAUAACCAAUUCAGAACUACAGAGCACCUCAGCUGCCCUUCUUCGCCCCUUUUACCAUGAUAAUGAAUUCAUUAGACGUUACAAUAGCAUCUGCUUGGGGACCAAUAGAGCAACCUCUAAUAAAUGGUUUAUGGAUUCAUCUGGCUUCAUUGGUAAUGUGAAGGGUUGGAAAAACUAUGCAACCGAAUGCAUUAUAAUACAAAAGGAGUUAAGGCGUACAGACGUAGUGAUGAACUGCAGAAGGGUUAUGUUAUUAUGUCUGUCUAAUUCUAAUAUGGUCUAAUCUAAUUUUCCCCUCAUUGGCUUUGCAGCUUGGUGACACCUGUUUAUUAUCUAGUUACAGAUUAUACAAAACAAACAUUAAUAAACCAGAGAGGGAUAUAUUUCUAAAUAGAAGAAAUAUCUCCAUUGCAUUUAUUAUAGCAUCAGUUACUAUUAGUAAUAACACCAGACACUGUCACUGUCAGCUCAGUCUUUCUGUUUUUCUGCGUAUAUGUGUCACGCUAACGUAUUCCAUCAACAGUUGCUUUCGAUGUUUUGCAUCCCAGCCACCCAGCACAGAGAAAGGAUUACGGGCGAGUUCUUUGAGUGAGUCUUCUAAACUGCAGAUGGAAUUUACAGUUCAAAAGAGAUUAUGAAUAUUAAAGAGGGACUUUUUUAAUGAUUCGGGUUUGCUCUGGCAAGCAGAGCAUACACAAACUCAAAGGAUUAGAUAAACACAAAGCUUCAAGGUCUUUGCCUGGGAGACAACUGUAUUUAUUAAAUCGCCUCUUUGUGAUUUCCUUUAAAUAAUGUAUAAUUGCGUGAGACUAAGAGCUCAUUGCUGAUAAAAAAAAUGAACCAUGGUAAAGGCACUUGUAGUUAUCCUGGAGAGAUAGGAGUUUGAUUGAUAUGAGAGGCAGAAAAACUGUGCUGAUGUUCGGUUAGCAAAUGUGGGUUUAUGACGUGUGUGGAUAUAUUUUUACUCAAUUUUGAGUUGUAAGGACCCGAGCCUUUCAUUUUACAUCAUCCAAAUGCUUUUGAUGAAUGAUGAUAAUCCCCUACUUGUUUUGUGAAUAAUUCACUUUGUAUUAAAAAGAAAGACUUUGAAAUUCAAACACACUUACAAAGCGCUCUAGGGUGAAAUAAAAGGAUGAGGCUUUUACUUGUUUCAAGAGGUGGCAGAAUGUA